rnacentral:rRNA from 1 species
UAGGGAAUCUUCGGCAAUGGACGAAAGUCUGACCGAGCAACGCCGCGUGAGUGAAGAAGGUUUUCGGAUCGUAAAACUCUGUUGUUAGAGAAGAACAAGGACGUUAGUAACUGAACGUCCCCUGACGGUAUCUAACCAGAAAGCCACGGCUAACUACGUGCCAGCAGCCGCGGUAAUACGUAGGUGGCAAGCGUUGUCCGGAUUUAUUGGGCGUAAAGCGAGCGCAGGCGGUAUCUUAAGUCUGAUGUGAAAGCCCCCGGCUCAACCGGGGAGGGUCAUUGUAAACUGGGAGACUGGAGUGCAGAAGAGGAGAGUGGAAUUCCAUGUGUAGCGGUGAAAUGCGUAGAUAUAUGGAGGAACACCAGUGGCGAAGGCGGCUCUCUGGUCUGUAACUGACGCUGAGGCUCGAAAGCGUGGGGAGCAAACAGG